rnacentral:rRNA from 1 species
GAUCGCUGUGAUGCGGGCGGUUCGCCGCCCGUGACUCUGCGAGAAGUCCAUUGAACCUUAUCAUUUAGAGGAAGGAGAAGUCGUAACAAGGUUUCCGUAGGUGAACCUGCGGAAGGAUCAUUGUCGAGACCGAAAUACAUCGAGCGAUUUGGAGAACCGGUUAAAAUAAGCGAUGGAUAUUCUUCCCAGCAAUGAAAGCCAUCCCAAUCGUUAUCUCAUCUCCUCAGGGACGGGGAUGCGAAUAAGGAUGGUUGAACACUCAAUCCGGCGCAGCGUCGCGCCAAGGGAAAAAUUGAAACACGAGCCUUCAAACGGGUUCGGUGGCAUGGCAUGCUGUCGCACGCCAUAUGAAUUGACACGACUCUCGGCAAUGGAUAUCUCGGCUCUCGCAUCGAUGAAGAGCGCAGCGAAAUGCGAUACGUGGUGCGAAUUGCAGAAUCCCGCGAACCAUCGAGUCUUUGAACGCAAGUUGCGCCCGAGGCCAACCGGCCAAGGGCACGUCCGCCUGGGCGUCAAGCAUUACUUCGCUCUGUGUCAUCUCCAUCCCAUCGAUGGAUGGGCUGGCGAAGGCUCGGAUGUGCUGAGUGGCUCGUCGUGCCCCUCGGUGCGACGGGCUGAAGAGCGGGUCAUCAUCUCGUUGGCUGCGAACAAUAAGGGGUGGAUUAAAGUGAGGCCUAUGUUAUUGUGUCGUGUAUGCCUGAGAGAAGAUUAUACAUAUUCAUGUGGAUCCCUAAUCAUGCGUCAAUCCAUGGAUGGCGUUUGGAAUGCGACCCCAGGAUGGGCGAGGCCACCCGCUGAGUUUAAGCAUAUCAAUAAGCGGAGGAGAAGAAACUUACGAGGAUUCCCCUAGUUUAAGCAUAUCAAUAAGCGGAGGAGAAGAAACUUACGAGGAUUCCCCUA